UCCAGUACUUUAACACCUCUUGAAGCUUAUUGUAGAUUGGGCCAUCCUUCCUUAUCUACCUUAAAGAAAUUAUGUCAUUAGUUUCAGUCUUUGUCAGUACUAGAAUGUAAGUCAUGUCAGUUUACUAAGCAUCAUCGUUUACCUUCUGCGUCUAGAGUCAAUAAACGAGUUUCGUCUUCUUUUGAGUUAAUUCAUUCUGAUAUUUGGGGUCCUUGCUCUGUUACUUCUAAACUUGCAUUUAGAUAUUUUGUUACUUUUAUUGAUGAU
rnacentral:misc_RNA from 1 species